GAUGAACGCUGGCGGCGUGCCUAAUACAUGCAAGUCGAACGAACAGACGAGGAGCUUGCUCCUCUGUCGUUAGCGGCAGACGGGUGAGUAACACGUGUAUAACCUACCUAUAAGACUGAGAUAACUUCGGGACACCGGCGCUAAUCCCGGAUAAUCUCUUGAACCGCGGGGUUGAAUAGUGAAAUACGGCUUUGCUGUCUCUUAUAGAUGGAUCCGCGCCGCAUUAGCUAGUUGGUGAGGUAACGGCUUACCAAGGGAACGAUGCGUAGCCGAACUGAGAGAGUGAUAGGCCACACGGGAACGGAGCCACGGUCAAGACGACUACGGGAGGCAGCAGUAGGGAAUCUUCCGCAAUGGGCGAAAGCCUGACGGAGUAACGCCGAGUGAGUGAUGAAGGUCUUCGGAGCGUAAAACUCUGUUAUUAGUGAAGAACAAAUGUGGAAGUAACUAUGCACGUCUUGACGGUACCGAAUCAGAAAGCCACGGCUAACUACGUG
rnacentral:rRNA from 1 species